UCGAGAAUCUUCGGCAAUGGGCGCAAGCCUGACCGAGCGACGCUACGUGCGGGAUGAAGGCCCUUGGGUUGUAAACCGCUGUCAGAGGGGAUGAAAGCGCAAGCUUGACAGAGCCUCAGAGGAAGCGCGGGCUAAGUUCGUGCCAGCAGCCGCGGUAAUACGAACUGCGCAAACGUUAUUCGGAAUCACUGGGCUUACAGGGUGCGUAGGCGGCCGAACAGGUCCGGUGUGAAAUCCCUCAGCUCAACUG
rnacentral:rRNA from 1 species